UGUGUAGGCGGUUUGGUAAGUCUGGUGUGAAAUCUCCCGGCUCAACUGGGAGGGUGCGCCGGAAACUGCCGGACUCGAGUGCGGGAGAGGAGAGUGGAAUUCCUGGUGUAGCGGUGAAAUGCGUAGAUAUCAGGAGGAACACCGGCGGUGUAGACGGCUCUCUGGACCGUAACUGACGCUGAGACACGAAAGCGUGGGUAGCAAACA
rnacentral:rRNA from 1 species